rnacentral:rRNA from 1 species
AUUGAACGCUGGCGGUAUGCUUAACACAUGCAAGUCGAACGGUAGCAGGCCUUCGGGCGCUGACGAGUGGCGGACGGGUGAGUAACGCGUAGGAAUCUGCCUUUUAGUGGGGGACAACUUAGGGAAACUUAAGCUAAUACCGCAUACGCCCUACGGGGGAAAGCGGGGGACCUUCGGGCCUCGCGCUAAAAGAUAAGCCUGCGUUGGAUUAGCUAGUUGGCGGGGUAAAGGCCCACCAAGGCGACGAUCCAUAGCUGGUCUGAGAGGACGAUCAGCCACACUGGGACUGAGACACGGCCCAGACUCCUACGGGAGGCAGCAGUAGGGAAUAUUGGACAAUGGCGGAAGCCUGAUCCAGCAAUACCGCGUGUGUGAAGAAGGCCUGAGGGUUGUAAAGCACUUUCAAUAGGAAGGAAUACCUAUCCAUUAAUACUGGGUAGACUGACAUUACCUAUACAAGAAGCACCGGCUAACUCCGUGCCAGCCGCCGCCGUAA